UACGUAGGGUGCAAGCGUUGUCCGGAAUUAUUGGGCGUAAAGAGCUUGUAGGCGGUUUGUCGCGUCUGCUGUGAAAAUUCCGGGGCUCAACCCCGAACUUGCAGUGGGUACGGGCAGACUAGAGUGUGGUAGGGGAGACUGGAAUUCCUGGUGUAGCGGUGAAAUGCGCAGAUAUCAGGAGGAACACCGAUGGCGAAGGCAGGUCUCUGGGCCACUACUGACGCUGAGAAGCGAAAGCAUGGGGAGCGAACAGG
rnacentral:rRNA from 1 species